GGUCGACGAAAAGAAGAGGAGGAAGGUAAAGGGAGAAGGCAAGUUGGUGUAUGAUCUAUGAGGGGCAGAAGGGAUUAGGUUCAAAGGUGGGCAAAUGAGGGGAAAGAGAUUGGGGGACGAGCAGACCGUCAACGUGAAAGCUGAAUGGAAAAGUUAGGGAGAUGGUGAACGAUGACAAGAUUGAAGGGGAGGGGGUUGAACGACGAGAAUAGGAAAGUAAGGGAAAUAGAAUUGCAACCCUAGAGGUAAAAUAGAAGACACGGUCAUGUAUUGGCUCGUGUUAGGCCACCUAGGUGUGAGGUAAAGUAGAAGACACAGUCGUG
rnacentral:lncRNA from 1 species